rnacentral:ncRNA from 2 species
CAUUAGCUGAGGAGCGCUGCAACUCCGGUUUACGGAACCAGGCUCAGCAAAUGAAACGGCGCUCGUUCCAA